GCAGAACGCGAAGAACCUUACCCACCUUUGACAUGGCAGGAACUUACCAGAGAUGGUUUGGUGCUCGAAAGAGAACCUGCACACAGGUGCUGCAUGGCUGUCGUCAGCUCGUGUCGUGAGAUGUUGGGUUAAGUCCCGCAACGAGCGCAACCCUUGCCAUUAGUUGCUACAUUCAGUUGAGCACUCUAAUGGGACUGCCGGUGACAAACCGGAGGAAGGUGGGGAUGACGUCAAGUCCUCAUGGCCCUUAUAGGUGGGGCUACACACGUCAUACAAUGGCUGGUACAAAGGGUUGCCAACCCGCGAGGGGGAGCUAAUCCCAUAAAGCCAGUCGUAGUCCGGAUCGCAGUCUGCAACUCGACUGCGUGAAGUCGGAAUCGCUAGUAAUCGUGGAUCAGAAUGUCACGGUGAAUACGUUCCCGGGUCUUGUACACACCG
rnacentral:rRNA from 1 species